rnacentral:rRNA from 1 species
CCUACUGGUGGCUGCAGUGGGGAAUAUUGGACAAUGGGGGCAACCCUGAUCCAGCCAUGCCGCGUGUGUGAAGAAGGCCCUCGGGUUGUAAAGCACUUUCAGUGAGGAAGAACGCCUGGUGGUUAAUACCCAUCAGGAAAGACAUCACUCACAGAAGAAGCACCGGCUAACUCCGUGCCAGCAGCCGCGGUAAUACGGAGGGUGCGAGCGUUAAUCGGAAUUACUGGGCGUAAAGCGCGCGUAGGUGGCUUGAUAAGCCGGUUGUGAAAGCCCCGGGCUCAACCUGGGAACGGCAUCCGGAACUGUCAAGCUAGAGUGCAUGAGAGGAAGGUAGAAUUCCCGGUGUAGCGGUGAAAUGCGUAGAGAUCGGGAGGAAUACCAGUGGCGAAGGCGGCCUUCUGGACUGACACUGACACUGAGGUGCGAAAGCGUGGGUAGCAAACAGGAUUAGAUACCCCAGUAGUC